ACAGUCCAAACCCUUUUCCCUUUUUGCCAGUACCCUUUUAUUCUUCUUCACCACUCAAUUGAUCUCCUUUACGGUUUUCUCAAACUUACAUACUUUCAUCUGUUAAUUUUGGUACUGGGUCCGGAGCGAUUUUGAUCUAUGAGCGAAGGCAUUCGAAUAAAUCAAUGGCCAUGAACGUGAUUUCUUGAUUUAUUCAUGGUAUUAGCUUAUUUCUUUAAUUAGGUUUCGACGGCGUAAGAAUUAAUUAAACCCAAUUUAGCAAUUAAAGAGAAGCAUUACAAGUAAACUAUCGUAGGAUUUACUGGCCUAAGAAAAUGGGUGAUUUUUUUCAAUUCCCAUUUUACUAUCGUUGUUUGAAAUUGUAAUGAGCAAACCAUUUUUCUUUCAAGAAUCUUGGAAUUGCAAGCAAUGGAGUAAACAAUUUGAAAAUAAAUGCAGAGAACAUAAGGAAAUAUACAUAUUUUUGUCUGGCUAUGAGGUUUUCUUUACAAGCAAUGUGCAUACAAUUCAGCUUUUGAUUUAGUAUAGUUUGGUUUUUAUGUAGAUUGCUCGAUUUUAUAAGAACAAGGGCUGUACAUUUUCAACCUUGUUCCCUCUUAUUUGGGCAGACCACAUGUUCUUUUUUACUUAUUGAUUGACUGUAUUUAUUUACUUCUAUGAGGUUCCUCAUGGGAGUGAAAAUUAAUUUGCAUGGCUCAACUAAGCUUAGAUUAAGUUCAUUAGCAAUAGAUAUGCAUGAAUAAAUUGUGUGAAACUUUAUUGUUAAGAAUGAGUUACAUAAUUGGAAUCUGAUUUCUAUGUUGUCCGUAGAUCUUUUAACAAGGUUCUAUUUACAAAGAUUUCACUGAUGAAAUUUUUUUGUCACUAAGAUAUCUUUUUACAGGUACAUAACAAAAAGUAUCCUUGCUUGGUUUGGUGUAGGGACAUUAUCAAUGUAGUAUUCAGUCGGCCAGAGCUCUUUUUCGCACAGCUAAGAACCUAAGAUUUGAGAAACAACAAUCAAAAGUUUUAAGCAUUGAAUAGAGAGCACUAACUAAAAUUUGUGCUGGCUAUAGAGAACAAAUUACAACCCGUUUUAUUUUCUACUGAAGCUGAGUACAAGGUUAUUUAUUUUUUUAGUCAUCUUCCUUACGCUCCAUAAUUUAUAGCUUCUAAAUAACAUAAGGUUUCUAUAGUUGAGAAUUUUGUUCUAAAUGCUUGUUAUGUGCUCCAGCAUGCUAUGGAUGGCCUCAUUAUGUUAAUAUUCAAGCAAAAGGAUGUUCCUUAUUUCGUUAUAUCAUUAGGGAACCACUUGCCUGUACCGUAACAAGACCAGUAUUAAAUUUAGCUAGCCUAAGGUAAGGAUACAUUCCAUUCUUCUUUUUGUGUACUGGCGUGUUUGUGUUUUUUUUAUAUAUUAUCAAAUUUGGUGUCAGAUUUAUUACUGAGAUAAUCAAAUCUCUAGUUAUUUCAAGAAGCAAGAUUGAUAAAGGAAGUAAGAAUAUACAUGUAACAUCGCAAUAAAAUCCAAUUGAAUCGUCAAAGAUAUCAUUCAAUUUUCCGCAGUUUGUAAAUCCUUCCAUCAAGGGUGCUGAAUUUGUAGAUGUGAAGGUCCAUAUAAAAGUGAUGUUGAGAUUUCUGCUUCAGUUAAUAUGAAUGGAAC
rnacentral:lncRNA from 1 species